rnacentral:lncRNA from 1 species
GUGUGUAUAUGUGUGUGUGAGGGCGUGAAGGCGUGAGGGCGUGCUGGUGCAGUAGCCAGGCGGGGUUGCAAGGAUGUUUGGAAGAGCGGUACAGGGUGCACGGGGGGGGGUGCUGCUGCAGCAAGUCAUAGUCCAUUCCCGGCGCGUUGUCCACACGCCUGGCACCGCAGCAGCAGCAGCAGCAGCAGCAUGCCAAUGGGAAAGAAACACAUCUCGACAUCGGCCGUGGCCUUCAUGUGCGCGGCGUCGGCCGCCUCCGUCGCCGGCCAGUCAGUGACUACCAACUGCCACCAAUCCUGACAGCUGCCCCUUUUCGGCCCCUCCUCCCUGUCACUUGAACUCCUCCGCCCCUGUACGUCGACCUCUCACACCUCCAUCCCCCCCAUAUGUCGCUGCCACGCCGCCACGCCGCCGCCCCCCAUGUACGCGCAGCGCGCCAUUGCGCAGGAGGUGAUUGCCGACAUCAG